UAUUUGACAAUGGGGGGAACCCUGAUCCAGCGACGCCGCGAGAGUGAAGAAGUAUUUCGGGGUGUAAAGCUCUAUCAGCAGGGAAGAAAGAAAUGACGGUACCUGACUAAGAAGCCUCGGCUAACUACGUGACAGCAGCCGCGGUAAUACGUAGGGGGCAAGCGUUAUCCGGAUUUACUGGGUGUAAAGGGAGCGUAGACGGCGAUGCAAGUCUGAAGUGAAAGGCGGGGGCCCAACCCCCGGACUGCUUUGGAAACUGUAUGGCUGGAGUGCAGGAGAAGUAAGUAGAAUUCCUAGUGUAGCGGUGAAAUGCGUAGAUAUUAGGAGGAACACCAGUGGCGAAGGCGGCUUACUGGACUGUAACUGACGUUGAGGCUCGAAAGCGUGGGGAGCAAACAGG
rnacentral:rRNA from 1 species